GUGCAGGCUGUGUCGCAGGCUGGCUCCCCACACACCCCACCCCCACGGUGCCCCCCAGCGUCCCCCAGGAAAAGCCUGCCCCCCCACAGCUGCCAAGAGCCCCCCGACCUGGGAAUACCUGUAGAAAAACCAUAAAAACUUAGAUCAUUUGUCUGCAAAUUCCCACUGCAAACUCUUUGCUUAUAGGCAAAAUGAUACAAAAAUAGGGAGCUAACAGAACUUUUACAAAAAGCCCACACCCCGUCUUUGUUUGCGGUGUGGUUCGCGUCAUGGUUUUUUUGUUUUGUUUUGUUUUGUUUUUUGCUUGUGGUUUUGGUAUGAAUUCCUGCCGUGGAAGAAAGCAUUGUGUGCUUGUGGCCCAACCCUAGUUUGUGGCCUCUGGUGUCCUAGGAACGGAGUGAAGCCCUCCAGGAGCGGAGGGGCCUCGAGGCUAGCUGUCCAUACUCUGAAGACACCUCCUGUUAGUGUGGUAGAGGCCACUCAGAGAGAAGGCUGCUGGAAAGGAAAAUUAACCCGGAUCUUAAAAGAAAGCUGGCCGGAACAGGCCUGCCCUGCUACACAAA
rnacentral:lncRNA from 1 species